CUGCUGUAGACUUUUAGCUUCUUCAUUUUUUUUUUUCCUUUAAAUAGAACCAAUUAACUCUUACUUGAAUUUUCCAAAUACAUGAGGUUUCACUACCAUUUUGGAGGAAUGGAGCCAGCGUUUUGAUUGUCACACAUAGACUUUCACUAAUGUAUUUUUCCUCAAAGGCAACUAGAUAUUCAUGUUACUAUUGCUUUUCCUUAGAAACAGAAGUCUCCCGAUCAUAAUUACAGGCUUUGAGCAAAGGCAACAGUAGUGAAGAAACCCGGAGCUCUGUAAACAUUACUGAAGAACCAUGCCAAAUAUAUGCAUAAAUUCAGGUGGCUUAUUAUUACAUCUUGAAAGGACUGGAUAUCUGAGCACUGUCUGACAUUACUUUUGACUUCACUGGAGGUAACCUAGAAGGAGAGAGAUGUCUCAGCAGUUUCUUUAUCAAUCGCCACCUUUGGAUUUAGCCUUCUGUGGUCAUUUUGAAUAGCAAGCAUCUGAGACAGCAAAGGUGGGCGCAACUGCCAAAACCACAACCCACGGUCAAAAGGAUCGUCAUCCAUUUGGGGGUAA
rnacentral:lncRNA from 1 species